ensembl:lncRNA
CUGAAACCAGGAACGAGAGACUUUAGAGAUCAAGUUUCCAACACUCAAGCCUUCCGGACCCAGGAAAAUCACCCCAGCCCUCAUGAGCCUGGAGGUCACACCUGGCACUGAGGGCCACCCAGUCUUCCUGGCCCCUCCAGCAUGUGUCUGGAGUCCCCUCCAACCUCUGUAGCCGGGGAUCCCCUUGAGGGGCAGCUGCCCACCCCUGCCUGAGCCAACACCUGCUGCCCAGCUCCCGGUGGCAUCCUGGUCCCCACUGAGAAGCAAGGGGCCCUGAGCAGCCCCCAUGCACACAGUUGGUGCUCAGCCAAGGCUGCUUCAGUGCCUCCCUGUGUCCUCAGACCAGUGCCCUGCCCAGGACCCUGUGAUGAAAUUGGGCCCAGAAGAAAGCCUGCUGUGAGGCUCUAUGAUGAGCGACUGCGAUUCCACCCCC